CUGUGAGCUUCCUGCCAGAGGCUCCGCCCCUCAGCCGGUAAACUCUGCACUCUGCAAGCAGAAGGCCCCAUUAGGACUACAGUUCCUGUGACUCACACUACCACAAGUCCAAAGGACAGUCAAGAGCAAACACAAGUAGGGCAACGUGCACAAACCUGUCACCAGUGAUUGGCAUCUUCACAUCUACCCGGGACGAAAACACAAUGAAGGACAAUCUCAUCUGGGGACUGCAAAAUUAAAUAAAGAAGACACUGUGAAUUAAAACAUCCUCUCACAUUU